rnacentral:rRNA from 1 species
CCUACGGGAGGCUGCAGUGGGGAAUAUUGGACAAUGGGGGGAACCCUGAUCCAGCCAUGCCGCGUGUGUGAAGAAGGCCCUCGGGUUGUAAAGCACUUUCAGUGAGGAAGAACGCCUGGUGGUUAAUACCCAUCAGGAAAGACAUCACUCACAGAAGAAGCACCGGCUAACUCCGUGCCAGCAGCCGCGGUAAUACGGAGGGUGCGAGCGUUAAUCGGAAUUACUGGGCGUAAAGCGCGCGUAGGUGGCUUGAUAAGCCGGUUGUGAAAGCCCCGGGCUCAACCUGGGAACGGCAUCCGGAACUGUCAAGCUAGAGUGAAGGAGAGGAAGGUAGAAUUCCCGGUGUAGCGGUGAAAUGCGUAGAGAUCGGGAGGAAUACCAGUGGCGAAGGCGGCCUUCUGGACUGACACUGACACUGAGGUGCGAAAGCGUGGGUAGCAAACAGGAUUAGAUACCCCUGUAGUC